CCUACGGGAGGCAGCAGUCGAGAAUCAUUCACAAUGGGGGAAACCCUGAUCGUGCGACGUCGCGUGGAGGAAUGAAGGUCUUCGGAUUGUAAACUUCUGUCAUGUGGGAGCAAAUUAAAACGCUAGUACCACAUGAGGAAGAGUCGGCUAACUCUGUGCCAGCAGCCGCGGUAAUACAGCGGUCUCAAGCGUUGUUCGGAAUCACUGGGCUUAAAGCGUGCGUAGGCUGUUUAGUAAGUCGUGUGUGAAAGGCGCGGGCUCAACCGGCAAAUGGCAAAUGAUACUGGGAGACUAGAGUACAGGAGGGGUAACCGGAAUUCUCGGUGUAGCAGUGAAAUGCGUAGAUAUCGAGAGGAACACUCGUGGCGAAGGCGGGUUCCUGAACAUUAACUGACACUGAGGCACGAAGGCCAGGGGAGCGAAAGGGAUUAGAUACCCUUGUAGUC
rnacentral:rRNA from 1 species